AUUGAACGCUGGCGGCAGGCCUAACACAUGCAAGUCGAACGGUAACAGGGAUCAGCUUGCUGAUUCGCUGACGAGUGGCGGACGGGUGAGUAAUGUCUGGGAAACUGCCUGAUGGAGGGGGAUAACUACUGGAAACGGUAGCUAAUACCGCAUAACGUCGCAAGACCAAAGAGGGGGACCUUCGGGCCUCUUGCCAUCGGAUGUGCCCAGAUGGGAUUAGCUAGUAGGUGGGGUAACGGCUCACCUAGGCGACGAUCCCUAGCUGGUCUGAGAGGAUGACCAGCCACGCUGGAACUGAGACACGGUCCAGACUCCUACGGGAGGCAGCAGUGGGGAAUAUUGCACAAUGGGCGCAAGCCUGAUGCAGCCAUGCCGCGUGUAUGAAGAAGGCCUUCGGGUUGUAAAGUACUUUCAGCGGGGAGGAAGGGAGUAAAGUUAAUACCUUUGCUCAUUGACGUUACCCGCAGAAGAAGCACCGGCUAACUCCGUG
rnacentral:rRNA from 1 species